rnacentral:rRNA from 1 species
UUGUUGUGGUUAAAAAGCUCGUAGUUGAACCUUGGGCCUGGCUGGCCGGUCCGCCUCACCGCGUGCACUGGUCCGGCCGGGUCUUUCCCUCUGUGGAACCCCAUGCCCUUCACUGGGCGUGGCGGGGAAACAGGACGUUUACUUUGAAAAAAUUAGAGUGCUCCAGGCAGGCCUAUGCUCGAAUACCUUAGCAUGGAAUAAUGAAAUAGGACGCGCGGUUCUAUUUUGUUGGUUUCUAGGACCGCCGUAAUGAUUAAUAGGGACAGUCGGGGGCAUCAGUAUUCAAUAGUCAGAGGUGAAAUUCUUGGAUCUAUUGAAGACUAACUACUGCGAAAGCAUUUGUCAAGGAUGUUUUCAUUAAUCAGGAACGAAAGUUAGGGGAUCGAAGACGAUCAGAUACCGUCGUAGUCUUAACCAUAAACUAUGCCGACUAGGGAUCGGACGAUGUUAUUUUUUGACUCGUUCGGCACCUUACGAGAAAUCAAAGUGCUUGGGCUCCAGGGGGAGUAUGGUCGCAAGGCUGAAACUUAAAGAAAUUGACGGAAGGGCACCACCAGGGGUGGAGCCUGCGGCUUAAUUU